UCCUAAGGACUGUAGCUUAGUGGCAGAGAAUCUGCUUUGCAUGCAGAAGGUCUCAGGUUCAAUUUCCAGCAUCUCUGGGUGGGAAA